rnacentral:rRNA from 1 species
CCUACGGGAGGCAGCAGUUGGGGAUCUUGCGCAAUGGGCGAAAGCCUGACGCAGCGACGCCGCGUGGAGGAUGACGGCCUUCGGGUUGUAAACUCCUUUCGAUGGGGAAGAAAUGCAGGUGGUGAACAACCAUUCUGUUUGACGGUACCCUCAAAGGAAGCACCGGCUAACUCCGUGCCAGCAGCCGCGGUAAUACGGAGGGUGCGAGCGUUGUUCGGAAUUAUUGGGCGUAAAGCGCGUGUAGGCGGUUUGUUAAGUCUGAGGUAAAAGCCCCGGGCUCAACCUGGGAAGUGCAUUGGAUACUGGCAGACUUGAGUACGGGAGAGGAGAGUGGAAUUCCCAGUGUAGGAGUAAAAUCCGUAGAUAUUGGGAGGAACACCGGUGGCGAGGGCGGCUCUCUGGACCGAUACUGACGCUGAGACGCGAAAGCGUGGGGAGCAAACAGGAUUAGAUACCCCUGUAGU